rnacentral:lncRNA from 1 species
GUGGAAUGCUCUUUUGCUGCUUCCUGCUGCCCACACUAUUGUCUGCUCAGAGUUCUGGCACGUAUCGUCUCAGCUUUCCAUUCCUGACAUCACCUGAUUGCACGAUUCAUUCAAGUGGGUCAAGCUUUGUAACUCUAAAAUAUGUAGCAGCAAUCAAAAGAAACUGAACUCCAACCUACACAGCAAGUUUCUGCUUGGUAGCCCCAUACAGCUGGCUCUGUUCAGGGCAGGUCAGCAUUACAACAGUACAGACAGCCAGAAUUGCUGUCAUGCAAGCAAGGAUGUGGCCCCUUAAUUUUUUAUCCUGAUGUUUGGGCUUUUCUUAGCCCCUCCACCUCCCUGAACCUUGCAGCAUUAUUGUUUCCUGAAGGAGUUAUUUCUAUCAAGUACUGGCAGUCCUGACAUUGAUAGGCAGUGAACCAAUACUUUUAUAGAAUUGUGAAGCCAAACUAGUUUUGCAGAUCGACUGUGCAGUUGCAUACGAUUUUCCAUUCUGGAUAUAAUAACUGCAACUUGAAAUACUCCCCCACAAGGAUUGAUUGUGUGCUUUAGGAAAUUCACAGUAAAGAAUUUAAUUAAGAAAGAAGAAAUUGCAUCACUUCAUUUAAAAAAGGAGAAAUUCACCCGAGAUAUUUUGUUCAUUUUCAGGCUAUAAUAGCAAUAACCAUCUUUAGCUGAGGACAUUUCCUGGGGCUUAAUGGCCCAUGGCUGUGCUUCUUCAGGUGAUCAUCAUCAUCUCCCAACAGUCAUUAAUCCCCUACAAAUGCCCUGCACCUCAGUCAUUAAAUGUGCUGCUUCUGAAAAUGAAAUAGUUCUAUAUUUAAUGCAUCUUCCAGGAAUAGGAGUGAUCUUUCUGAGGUCUUGUUUUCCCUCUGUGCUGCAUUCUGGGGAAUCCAAAUUAUGAAGAGGAUUACUUCAUUCAAAGAUAAACACCACUGAAGACCAGAUCUAACAUCACCUUAAAUAUGGAAACAGCACUUUAGAAUAACCUUCUAAAUUCCUUGGAAUUAAUCAACCACGAAUCACGCUGAAUUGCAAUCAGUUCACUUAUUAAAUGAGAGAUCUGUGAUUUUUGUAUGAAGGUUUGAAAGAUUCCUAAAGGGGUAUAUGCAUUUUUAUUUGAUUUUUUAAUGAAAUAUUUCAUUUCUUCCCAAUUUAAAUCAAAUAUCUAUUCACAGCAUAGAUUUUUGCAUUCAUAGGAUUGCAAAUUCUUAAAAACCAUGUAAAACUAAUUUAAUUUUGCAGUGAUUUUGUUAUUAAUAAUAUGUGAAAAGUAUUUUUCACAAGAGGAAUAAUUAAAAUCAUAUCUGAUGUAACCUGGUAUAAAGUGAUUGACUGUCUUCUUAUUGAAGCUAAACAUAAACAUAUGUGAGUGACAUUUUUUCUGUAAUGAUUGAAUUACACCAGAAUCUCCAUGUCAUGGCCAAUUCAGUGUUCAUAACAUGCAGCUACAUGAGGAUGAGUAGUUGAUGCAAGAAAAUGAUUAAAAACAGCAUGAUAAAAUAACUCGACCUACUAUGAGUUGAAACAUCUUCAAUAAAAUUGGCUGAUAUAUGUGCUGAAUAAUUCA